rnacentral:rRNA from 1 species
CUUACACAUGCAGUCGCACGGUCGGGCUUCGGCUCGGCUAGUGGCGGACGGGUGAGUAUCGCGUUAGGGAUGUAUCGUUGGGUGGGAGAUAGCCUUGGGAAACUGGGGGUAAUACCGCAUGACGCCUGUGGGCCAAAGGCAGUGAUGCCGCCUGACGAGCAGCCUGCGUCCGAUUAGCUAGUUGGUUGGGUAAUGGCUGACCAAGGCUGUGAUCGGUAGCUGGUCUGAGAGGAUGAUCAGCCACACUGGGACUGAGACACGGCCCAGACUCCUACGGGAGGCAGCAGUGGGGAAUAUUGGACAAUGGGCGCAAGCCUGAUCCAGCAAUGCCGCGUGGAUGAAGAAGGUCUUCGGAUUGUAAAGUCCUUUCGGCGGGGACGAUGAUGACGGUACCCGCAGAAGAAGCCCCGGCUAACUUCGUGCCAGCAGCCGCGGUAAUACGAAGGGGGCUAGCGUUGCUCGGAAUGACUGGGCGUAAAGGGCGCGUAGGCGGAUGUUUUAGUCAGGCGUGAAAGUCCUGGGCUCAACCUGGGGAUUGCGUUUGAUACGGCUCAUCUAGAGUUGGGAAGAGGGUCGUGGAAUUCCCAGUGUAGAGGUGAAAUUCGUAGAUAUUGGGAAGAACACCGGUGGCGAANGCGGCGACCUGGUCCUUGACUGACGCUGAGGCGCGAAAAGCGUGGGGGAGCAAACAGGAUUAGAUACCCCUGGUAGUUCCACGCUGUAAACGAUGUGCCCCUGGAUGUUGGGCNGNCNUAGCCCCUCAGUGUCGUAACUAACGCGGUUAACC